rnacentral:rRNA from 1 species
AAGUCGAGCGGUAACAUUUCUAGCUUGCUAGAAGAUGACGAGCGGCGGACGGGUGAGUAAUGCUUGGGAACAUGCCUUGAGGUGGGGGACAACAGUUGGAAACGACUGCUAAUACCGCAUAAUGUCUACGGACCAAAGGGGGCUUCGGCUCUCGCCUUUAGAUUGGCCCAAGUGGGAUUAGCUAGUUGGUGAGGUAAUGACUCACCAAGGCGACGAUCCCUAGCUGGUUUGAGAGGAUGAUCAGCCACACUGGGACUGAGACACGGCCCAGACUCCUACGGGAGGCAGCAGUGGGGAAUAUUGCACAAUGGGCGCAAGCCUGAUGCAGCCAUGCCGCGUGUGUGAAGAAGGCCUUCGGGUUGUAAAGCACUUUCAGUCAGGAGGAAAGGUUAGUAGUUAAUACCUGCUAGCUGUGACGUUACUGACAGAAGAAGCACCGGCUAACUCCGUGCCAGCAGCCGCGGUAAUACGGAGGGUGCGAGCGUUAAUCGGAAUUACUGGGCGUAAAGCGUACGCAGGCGGUUUGUUAAAGCGAGAUGUGAAAGCCCC